GUGCUUGCUCUGGCACCACUUCUACUAAAACUGGAAGGGCACAAAGAAGCUUAGCGUGACCCCUGGGCAAGGGUGACCCGCAUGUUAGUGAAUUGUUCUGUAUUUAA
ensembl:snRNA U6 U6 spliceosomal RNA